rnacentral:siRNA from 1 species
CAAAAAGAGAUAUACUUGCUCAC